rnacentral:tRNA from 1 species
GGGGCCAUAGCAUAACUGGACAAUGCUCUUUAGUCAUGAUGAAGCCAAUUAAGGUUCAAAUCCUUAUGACCCUA